CAUGAGUGAUGAGUGGCUCAUUUAUACACAUUUACUGAAAUAAGGGUUAUAACAUUGUUAAUUUAGUUUCAUUAUAUUUGGAAACGACUACGUAUUGUACUAAUAAAACACACAACUCAAGUAAUUGGUUUAGUUUAUGACAAAAGUAUCAACAUCCUUUAACCAUCUUGAAAAAAAAAAAGAAUAAUGUAUCCAAACAACUUGGCAUUAGAAAUAAAAUGAUCCAUUGUUUCCAUAAAGAAAAAGAAAGCGUUGUUAUAUGUAUUACGGAAAUCAUAUUUUAAAGUUUGUGUUAAGUACAAA
rnacentral:lncRNA from 1 species